UACGAAGGGGGCUAGCGUUGUUCGGAUUUACUGGGCGUAAAGCGCACGUAGGCGGAUUGUUAAGUCAGGGGUGAAAUCCUGGAGCUCAACUCCAGAACUGCCUUUGAUACUGGCAAUCUAGAGUCCGGAAGAGGUGAGUGGAACUCCUAGUGUAGAGGUGGAAUUCGUAGAUAUUAGGAAGAACACCAGUGGCGAAGGCGGCUCACUGGUCCGGUACUGACGCUGAGGUGCGAAAGCGUGGGAGCAAACAGG
rnacentral:rRNA from 1 species